UGGCUUAGUGCUCUCUUACAGUUCAACACUGACCCCGCAUCACUGCAAAAGCCCCGCAGCCGGACUCCGUGAGGCAGCAGACUGGAUGUGUUGUCAUCCUAUUGAGCCUCACGUGUCACUGGGCGCCCAGACACAACCAGAGCAAGGGGUCAGGAGGUCAAGACGAGUUCAGCUCAGAGUGUGUGUGUGUGUGUGUGUGUGUGUGUGUGUGUGUGUGUCAGCUGUUGAAAAGGUUAUUAUCUGCUCUGGGGCAGAGCAGACAUGAUCUCCUCACCUUUUAAAUUUCACAUGAAUUAUUGAUAUGGUUUUUCUAUGCUUGCAGCAGGUCAUGACAUGUACAGUCUUGUACAUGGGAAUAAAACUGCAAAGUGUUUCACUCAUCCACCCCACAAAGCCGAUGAGUUUUUUACCCCCGUCCAUGGAGGUCUGUCCCUCGCUGAGUUUCAGAGGUCAGGGGCGUGAUGUCCAUCCACAACUCCUGGUUUCACAAAGGCAGACGCAAGAAUUGCGUUUGGACAAUCAGCUCCGGACCUCCGUCCUUCUCUCGGUCACAGGUGGUUCCGUUGCAGCGGCUCUUCCUCGUGCAUUCUGGGAGAGUGACCAAAAGCAGUUUUAUGACUGAGAGCUGCUGACGACUCACUUCCUGCCAAGAACCAGAGGUUCAAAGUGACCGGGCGCACACAUAUCGACACACGUGCAACGAGGAAGAAAACACAUGAACACUGGCACAAGGUGCAGUCAUCAGUGACUGUUCGUUUGAAGGAACAUAACGAUCAACAGAGACUGCUGCUGUUGUUGAUGCUGGGAUAUUCAUGAUACACCCGCAAAACCUUGAGCGUCUCAAGGUCUGCAGGGACAACAGCCGUUUGCAGAACGACUAGAAAACUCUUCCUGACAGCAGCCGUCUGCUGAAGGUGACGUAACAGCAUCGCCAUUUAUUACUAACUACUAUAUGUGGGAAAUAAGUGUCUAUCCUUCAGCAUAUUCAUUUCAAUAACCACCAUUUACAAUGACAUUCAUAAAAGGACAUUUUUUCAGCUAAACGGGAUUUGAAAAUUCCUAAGAAUGGUGUCAAAAUUUGAGCUUCAUACUUUAAUUUGCUCUGAUCACCUGGAGAUGUCUGUGGAUACCAGACCUCCAGAAAAGUAAUCAUUACAAUAUUCACAUUUCACAGAUUUGUACACAUCACAAAUCAUAGGCAUCUUUCAUUACUGUCUUUAAAACACAAAAAAAUCCCCUCACCCACACAUUUUCUCCACACUCCACUUCCCUUUGCACCUGCUCUCCCAUUACACCAUAACUUUUAUUAGUAUAAACGUUGCUCUUGUGCAGAGCUGAUGUGAAUAAUUACACUUUACAUUUUCAAGGUGUUAUUUAUGUUGGUGGAGCAGCCGCUGGCAUCCAGCGUCACAUCAUGCAGUCAUCCUCAUUCACAUCUUAGAGCUGCAAGGUGGAAUUAUAUAUGGAUAUUUUUCAAUUUGAGUUUUCUCAAAAGUGUAUAUUCUAAAUAUUGUUGUUAUUAUUAUUAUACUGAGGUAUUAGAGGUGCCCUAAAAUGACAUAUACAUGUAAUUAUUACCCACUUACAAGACAGACAUUUUCUCAAAUGGUCGACUUAGAAACAUACUGUAAAACCCCCAAAAAGAUAUUUAUGAUAUAAGAUAUAUAGGCAGCGACAUCACAUCUCAGCUUUGGCAUUGUGUGUGUGGUAAAGCUCGACACAUGUUGCUUUAAACUUCUUGAUACGCUCGCUCUCUCUUCCCAGCGCUGAAAGUUAGCCUGAUAAAUCAAUAAGGGCGAAAUGGACUGAGUGGCAGAGACGUGUGAAUAAGAGCCAGUGGUCAGAAAUGAUCACAAUGGAAAAGCUCUGGAGAAAGGGAAGCCUUCGUUUUCAAGACAAAGUCAUGUCUUGUACAACAGUGUGUGUGUGUGUGUGUGUGUGUGUGUGUGUGUGUGUGUGUGUGUGUGUGUGUGUGUGUGUGUUUGUGUUUGUCUGUGCGUGAGUGUGAGAAAGACUUUUUUUAAAAGAGCGGUGCAUGUGAUUAGCGGACAAGGGCCGGACAGGGGCCAGGCAGGGCAGCCUGCAGACGAACGCGGAGAAAGGGACAUUUACCUUGAACUCCAAUCGCUCCGUCUCUGGGGCGGGGUCAGGUAUUGUAGCCGGGCCUG